AUGCACGCUAGCUACAGGCUUAACACAUGCCAGUCGCGGGGAAACGGCAUCGAAAGCUUGCUUUUGAUGGGCGUCGACCGGCGCACGGGUGAGUAACGCGUAUCCAACCUGCCCAUCACUUGGGAAUAACCUUGCGAAAGUAAGACUAAUGCCCAAUGACAUCCCACGAAGGCAUCCGAAUGGGAUUAAAGAUUUAUCGGUGAUGGAUGGGGAUGCGUCUGAUUAGCUUGUUGGCGGGGUGACGGCCCACCAAGGCAACGAUCAGUAGGGGUUCUGAGAGGAAGGUCCCCCACAUUGGAACUGAGACACGGUCCAAACUCCUACGGGAGGCAGCAGUGAGGAAUAUUGGUCAAUGGGCGAGAGCCUGAACCAGCCAAGUAGCGUGCAGGAUGACGGCCCUAUGGGUUGUAAACUGCUUUUAUAAGGGAAUAAAGUGGGUCACGUGUGACUUUUUGCAUGUACCUGAUGAAUAAGGACCGGCUAAUUCCGUG
rnacentral:rRNA from 1 species